AGUGAACGCUGGCGGUAGGCCUAACACAUGCAAGUCGAACGGCAGCACAGGAGAGCUUGCUCUCUGGGUGGCGAGUGGCGGACGGGUGAGGAAUACAUCGGAAUCUACUUUUUCGUGGGGGAUAACGUAGGGAAACUUACGCUAAUACCGCAUACGACCUACGGGUGAAAGCAGGGGAUCUUCGGACCUUGCGCGAUUGAAUGAGCCGAUGUCGGAUUAGCUAGUUGGCGGGGUAAAGGCCCACCAAGGCGACGAUCCGUAGCUGGUCUGAGAGGAUGAUCAGCCAACCUGGAACUGGGACACAGUCCAGACUCCUACGGGAGGCAGCAGUGGGGAAUAUUGGACAAUGGGCGCAAGCCUGAUCCAGCCAUACCGCGUGGGUGAAGAAGGCCUUCGGGUUGUAAAGCCCUUUUGUUGGGAAAGAAAUCCAGCUGGUUAAUACCCGGUUGGGAUGACGGUACCCAAAGAAUAAGCACCGGCUAACUUCGUGCCAGCAGCCGCCGUAA
rnacentral:rRNA from 1 species